rnacentral:rRNA from 1 species
CAUGGCUCAGGAUGAACGCUAGCGACAGGCCUAACACAUGCAAGUCAGGGGCAUCGGGGUUGAAGCUUGCUUUAACUGCCGGCGACCGGCGCACGGGUGAGUAACACGUAUGCAACCUGCCCGUCACAGGGGUAUAAUCGAUGGAAACGUCGUCUAAUCCCCCAUAUAAUCAUUUUGCUGCGUGGUGAGAUGAUGAAAGCUGAUUGUGGUGACGGAUGGGCCUGCGGUGCAUUAGCUAGUUGGUGGGGUAAUGGCCUACCAAGGCGACGAUGCAUAGCCGAACUGAGAGGUUAAUCGGCCACACUGGGACUGAGACACGGCCCAGACUCCUACGGGAGGCAGCAGUAGGGAAUAUUGCACAAUGGAGGAAACUCUGAUGCAGCCAUGCCGCGUGUGUGAAGAAGGCCUUCGGGUUGUAAAGCACUUUCGGAGGGGAGGAAAAGAUGACGUUACCCUCAGAAGAAGCACCGGCUAACUCCGUG